UACGUAGGGGGCAAGCGUUGUCCGGAUUUAUUGGCGUAAAGAGCGUGUAGGCGGCCAUGUAGGUCCGUUGUGAAAACUCGAGGCUCAACCUCGAGACGUCGGCGGAAACCAUCUGGCUAGAGUCCGGAAGAGGAGAGUGGAAUUCCUGGUGUAGCGGUGAAAUGCGCAGAUAUCAGGAAGAACACCCGUGGCGAAGGCGGCUCUCUGGGACGGUACUGACGCUGAGACGCGAAAGCGUGGGGAGCAAACAGG
rnacentral:rRNA from 1 species